GACGAACCGUGCGAACGUUAUUCGGAUUCACUGGGCUUAAAGGGCGCGUAGGCGGACGAGCAAGUCCGGGGUGAAAUCUUUCGGCUCAACCGGAAAAGUGCCUUGGAUACUGCUCGCCUUGAGUGAGGUAGGGGCAUGUGGAACUUCCGGUGGAGCGGUGAAAUGCGUUGAUAUCGGAAGGAACGCCGGUGGCGAAAGCGACGUGCUGGCCCUCAACUGACGCUGAGGCGCGAAAGCCAGGGGAGCAAACGGG
rnacentral:rRNA from 1 species